GUUGCUUUAUCCUAGUGGUUAAGGCGUGUGCUUGCUAUGAACUCGGGAGUUCGAAUCUCCCAAGUGACA
rnacentral:tRNA from 1 species